UGUCAGAUGAUCGUCUCCACCACAAAUCUGCUGCUCCAUAGUUCACAGUAAUGGAAUAACUCUGCUGAUCAUCUUUGAAUCCUGGAUCAGGAAGUAAAGCCGACUGACUGAAGAUGAUGAUGGAGGAAGAGGAGGACAGAGCAGAGUCUGCAGGGUCCAGCUGUCCGUCUGUGACCAGUGACCGGUCCAAAGGUUAUAAUCCAAACUUCAGUGAUGAACCUGGAACAACGAGAGGUCAGAGGUCACAGUCUGCAGGGUCCAGCUGUCCGUCUGUGAGGAGUGACCGGUCCAAAGAUGAACCUCCAGACUUCAGUGGUGAACCUGGACCAACGAGGUCAGAGAGCUGUGAUGACUCCUUUACAUGUUUGUGUUUCCUGGAUAAAUCUGACCUGAAACAUCCUCAGAUUGUUACAAAGAUUCAUUAAAAAGAAAACAAUGAAAGAGAAAAGAUCCAAAUGUUAGACUUGGUCAUUUGCUGUUUGAGGACAGUGAUGCUCAUAUCUGUGGGGAAAGUGUGACCUGAGUGGGUUCAUGUUUGUCUUUAAAGAGCUGCUCUGAUUCUCUUUGUGUCUGAUCUGUUAAACAGUCUGAGAGGUCACACAGAGACCCAGCAGCUAAAGCCUGGAUCAUACUGGCUGCUGUUACUCCAUCAGGACAACACUGAACCACAGUGGUGUGGAUGUAGUGGAUAAAUCCCACCAUACUGAUGCUCAGAUUUAAUCACAGGGAACAAAACCAGAUGUUACCUUCAGAUUGUGACCUUUGGAGUGGAC